rnacentral:tRNA from 2 species
GAAAGUAGCUCAGUUGGUAGAGCACAACCUUGCCAAGGUUGGGGUCGCGGGUUCGAAUCCCGUCUUUC